AGAGUUUGAUCAUGGCUCAGAUUGAACGCUGGCGGCAUGCCUUACACAUGCAAGUCGAACGGCAGCACGGGGCAACCUGGUGGCGAGUGGCGAACGGGUGGGUAAUGCAUCGGAACGUGCCAUUGAGUGGGGAUAACGUAGCGAAAGUUACGCUAAUACCGCAUAUUCUGUGAGCAGGAAAGCAGGGGACCGCAAGGCCUUGCGCUCUUUGAGCGGCCGAUGUCAGAUUAGCUAGUUGGUGGGGUAACGGCUUACCAAGGCGACGAUCUGUAGCGGGUCUGAGAGGAUGAUCCGCCACACUGGAACUGAGACACGGUCCAGACUCCUACGGGAGGCAGCAGUGGGGAAUUUUGGACAAUGGGCGCAAGCCUGAUCCAGCCAUGCCGCGUGAGUAAAGAAGGCCUUCGGGUUGUAAAGCUCUUUCGGCCGGGAAGAAAUCGCAUGGGUUAAUACCCUGUGUGGAUGACGGUACCGGAAUAAGAAGCACCGGCUAACUACGUG
rnacentral:rRNA from 1 species